rnacentral:rRNA from 1 species
GAUGAACGCUGGCGGCGUGCCUAAUACAUGCAAGUCGAGCGAACAGACGAGGAGCUUGCUCCUCUGACGUUAGCGGCGGACGGGUGAGUAACACGUGGAUAACCUACCUAUAAUACUGGGAUAACUUCGGGAAACCGGAGCUAAUCCCGGAUAAUAUAUUGAACCGCAUGGUUCAAUAGUGAAAGACGGUUUUGCUGUCACUUAUAGAUGGAUCCGCGCCGCAUUAGCUAGUGGGUAAGGUAACGGCUUACCAAGGCAACGAGGCGUAGCCGACCGGAGAGGGGGAUAGGCCACACUGGAGCUGAAACACGGUCCAGACUCCUACGGGAGGCAGCAGUAGGGAAUCUUCCGCAAUGGGCGAAAGCCUGACGGAGCAACGCCGCGUGAGUGAUGAAGGUCUUCGGAUCGUAAAACUCUGUUAUUAGGGAAGAACAAAUGUGUAAGUAAAUAUGCACGUCUUGACGGUACCUAAUCAGAAAGCCACGGCUAACUACGUG